rnacentral:rRNA from 1 species
AUGUGCGUGGGGCAUGACACAGACACAAAUGAGGGUUGGCAGGAGGUGCUACCGCGGCGUGACCCACGUCGUCCGAAUUCGUCGCCUUCCUCGACAAUGGCUCCUCGUCCCAUCCCCGCUUGGCUUCGCGGUAGAUGUUACAAAUGUUACGCUCAUGGUCAUCGCGCGGCUGUUUGCAAAGAGCCAUUGCGGUGUUCGCAUUGUUUGGAGAACGGUCAUCGUGCGCGUGGAUGUUGCAACCCAUGGCGUCCUCUAAGCUCACUGCCAUGCAUUGAUGUGCCGCUCUUGUCGCAGCUCGAUGUCGUGCAUCGUCCUGCUCUUGCUUCAUGUGAGGGUCCGAUGACAUCCGCACUCCCGUCGAAGGCGCUUUAUCGUGGGUCUUGGGCGUCUGUUGUCUAUGGUAGCGUUGGCUCACCAACCUCGUCGGAGCUGAUGUUGCAGUCCGCUUUGACUGAUCAGACUGCGUUGCUGCAAGGUUGUCUGGCACGUGUUGGGAGCUUUUUAGAACGAGCGGAGGCUGCUCUGAGUAGACUCCCUUGCGCCGGCUAUGUUGCAGACCUCUCUGACGUCGCACUCUCCUUGUGCGGCCGGUGUUUGCUCCGCGGAGGAUGGGGGGGGGGGGUGUGGAGUUAUAUGGCUCCUUAUCCCCUCGUGUCGGAGACAAUUCAUCCUUGA